rnacentral:rRNA from 1 species
GACGAACGCUGGCGGCGUGCCUAAUACAUGCAAGUAGAACGCUGAAGAGAGGAGCUUGCUCUUCUUGGAUGAGUUGCGAACGGGUGAGUAACGCGUAGGUAACCUGCCUGGUAGCGGGGGAUAACUAUUGGAAACGAUAGCUAAUACCGCAUAAAAUUGAUUAUUGCAUGAUAAUUAAUUGAAAGAUGCAACUGCAUCACUACCAGAUGGACCUGCGUUGUAUUAGCUAGUUGGUGAGGUAACGGCUCACCAAGGCGACGAUACAUAGCCGACCUGAGAGGGUGAUCGGCCACACUGGGACUGAGACACGGCCCAGACUCCUACGGGAGGCAGCAGUAGGGAAUCUUCGGCAAUGGGGGGAACCCUGACCGAGCAACGCCGCGGGAGUGAAGAAGGUUGUCGGAUCGUAAAGCUCUGUUGUAAGAGAAGAACGGGUGUGAGAGUGGAAAGUUCACACUGUGACGGUAUCUUACCAGAAAGGGACGGCUAACUACGUG